rnacentral:rRNA from 1 species
UGGGGAAUAUUGCACAAUGGGGGAAACCCUGAUGCAGCAACGCCGCGUGAGUGAUGAAGGUUUUCGGAUCGUAAAGCUCUGUCUUUGGGGAAGAUAAUGACGGUACCCAAGGAGGAAGCCACGGCUAACUACGUGCCAGCAGCCGCGGUAAUACGUAGGUGGCGAGCGUUAUCCGGAUUUACUGGGCGUAAAGGGAGCGUAGGCGGAUGAUUAAGUGGGAUGUGAAAUACCCGGGCUCAACUUGGGUGCUGCAUUCCAAACUGGAAGUCUAGAGUGCAGGAGAGGAGAAUGGAACUCCUAGUGAAGCGGUGAAAUGCGUAGAGAUUAGGAAGAACUCCAGUGGCGAAGGCGAUUCUCUGGACUGUAACUGACGCUGAGGCUGGAAAGCGUGGGGAGCAAACA